rnacentral:tRNA from 1 species
GGUGAAAUGGCGCUGGUGAUGAGUACACAGUGUGCGUACACUUGCUGUAGCGGGUUUUGUCUAAAAGGCCCGUGUUCCAUGGGGUUUCCGGUUUUGGUGUGGUCUCAAGAGUUCGAAUCUCUUCUUCACCGCCA